rnacentral:rRNA from 1 species
CGCAUCUGUGCAUGCAGCAUAUCAAUAAGCGGAGGAAAAGAAACUAACAAGGAUUCCCUAGUAACGGCGAGUGAAGCGGGAAGAGCUCAAAUUUGAAAUCUUAAAGGUUUUCCCUUGACGAAUUGUAGUUUAAAGAAGUGUUUUCUGUUGAAGUUUUGGUAAAAGUUCUUUGGAAUAGGACAUCAUAGAGGGUGAGAAUCCCGUAUUUGACCAUUAUUUUCAGCUUUGUGAUACACUUUCAAAGAGUCGGAUUGUUUGGGAAUGCAGUCCAAAAUGGGUGGUAAAUUUCAUCUAAAGCUAAAUAUUGGCGAGAGACCGAUAGCGAACAAGUACCGUGAGGGAAAGAUGAAAGGAACUUUGAAAAGAGAGUUAAACAGUACGUGAAAUUGUCAAAAGGGAAGCGUUUGACACCAGUGUUGUUUUCUCGAAAAUCAAUUAAAAAUGGCUCGAUUUUGUAUCGCUGAGACCUUAAAAGCUCACUGUACAUUUUUCGUGUCUUUUUUAAUGCACUUUUCGUUUAACAAGUCAACAUCAGUUUCUUUUGUUGUAAAAGGGUCAUUGGAAGGUGGCUUUCUUUUCGGAGAAAGUGUUUAUAGCCUUUGGCCUCUGCAAUCGAAGAGACUGAGGUCUGCAGCGUAGACUCUUCGGGGUUAGAUACAUUUGUGCUAAGUUAUAGCUUUUUAUAGACAACUUGUUGACUAUAAUUAGUCUUGUAGCUUACUCGCUUAUGCUAUUUUACCUACGCUUAGGAUGUUGAAGAUAUGCGCGACACG